AAAGAAAAAAAAAAGGGUCCAAAGGCAACUCUCUACCAGUUGCGUGCGAGUCGGCGGUGGACAGCUACAUCCUCAGUCCAGUUGUCUUGCAAAUCGCUCCACAUCUCAGCACUCGCCGGAAAAAGGGAACAGAAAAAGUGUGAUGGGGAUUAUAAGGAGCAGUUUCUCAUUCAUAUCAGGAACUGUUUGCGGAAUAUACAUAGCUCAGAACUACAACGUCCCCAACAUUCGAAAGCUUAUUCAGAACGCUUUAUUCAAGGCCAAAGAUGUCGAAGAGAAAUAUCGCAAGCCCCCCAAACCUGGUGAUCGCCUUUAGAUUUCAUCGGCUAAUUGUUUUUUUCAGGAAGAGAUCUGAAUGGUAGACCAGUGUUCACUAGCAAUCCUUUGAGAUAGGGCAGUUCCAUUUCCAAGAUGGAACUAACAUAUUUUAUGAAGGUUGGCCUCGGUUCUUUGUUCAGAGAUCAAAUUUUCCAAAACCUUACCUGUUGCCACCCAGAACCUACACUUGGAUUCAACGUCCAGUUGUGCUCCCUCAUUAUUUUAUAGCCCCAAGACAGUUGCUCUUGAUCUAUCUUUAUUUUUAGCAGCAUAUUGUCUGCAUAGCCUCCAUAAUGUACGCACCUGUUUUUGCUUUAAUACAUUCUCAACAUUUUUGAA